rnacentral:pre_miRNA from 1 species
GUCAUUUGGAGAUACUGUCAAAAGGCAGAUUCUGAUUCAGUAGGUGGGGCCUAAGACUCUGCAUUUAUGACAGCUCCCAGGUGAUGUCAA